rnacentral:lncRNA from 1 species
CAGCAAUCUACACACAUACACUCACACACCCCGUCCCUUUCCCUCCUCGCAGAAGCCGAGGAGAUGCCAUGUGAGGGUGCAGCGAGGAGUUGGGCUGUCUAAAAGCAAAGAAAGAGAUUGCAUCAGACACCGCAUCUGCUGACACCUUGUUCUUGGACUUCCAGCUUCCAAAACCGCGAGAAAUAAAUGUCUGUGUCUAAACCCCAACCCUACCACCUCAACUGCCGUGUGUGGUGUUUUGUGAUGGCAGCCCCAGCUGACUGAGACACCUGGUUAGACCGGAAUAAGCAGGCUGCAAUCGGUAGCAGUCACCAUUGAACAUCCUUGAAGCAAUUCUUCCAAAAUUACCUUGCAUCAAAGACUGCACAAGAACUGCUCUAAGCGGAAGGACUGAUGUCGGCAACCAGGGUUCCACCAGGGGCUGCAGACAGCCCUUGACCUUCAGAAGUAACCAAAUUUACUCACGUAGGCCAGGAAUUUCUAUGACGUGUUCCAAAUUCAGCCUCUCACUGAACACUUCCAGAGCAAGGCAACAUAAACAUCUGCAAGAAGAACAUUGUGUGAGAAAUAUCAAGUGAGAGUGGAAGAGUCUGCGGAGGGCCUCCCUGGGGCUCACCUGUGCUUUUGCCUGAGCUUCACCGUGUCAAGCACUUUUUCCCUCUGGAGGAAGCAGCUUUCACCUUGGAAGAAUCUUGACCUUGCCAUUCAAAGUCACCAGACAGGGAAUCUGCCAGUGCCUUGAUCUUAGACUUCCCAGCUUCUGUAACUGUGAGCAAUAAAUGUAUGCUGCUUAUAAACUAUCCAGUCUCAUGCAUUUUGUUAUAGCAAUAUAAACAGAUGAAGACAGACAUAAACAUAUCUUUUUGAGAGAUGCAAUGCAACCCAUACCACCAGGAUUGCCACAUGUUUGCUGAUUUCACCUGGUAGCAAGGCUUAGCUAUCUUGGCUUGAAUGUAAUACCUCCAUCUUUUCUCUUGGUCAUCCUCUUUAAGCAGAGGACUUUUAUCUACCCAAGCAGAAUCCUGUGUUCUUGCUAUUCGAAGUGCAGCCCAGCCUCCUGCAGCCACCACAUCACUUGUGAUGCUUGACAGAAAUGCAGACUCUCUGUUCCCACCUCAAACCUACUGACUUGGGAAUCUGCAGCUUACCAAGAUCUCCAGGUGAUCCACGUACACGUCAAACUUUGAAAAGCAGUGGUUUGCAGAACAAAAAGGAUUCAGCUUCUGAUAUGGUUUGGAUUUGUGUCUGUACCCAAAUCUCAUGUCAAAUUGUAAUCCCCAGUGUUGGAGGAGGAGCCUGGUGAAAGGUAAUUGGAUCACGGGGGCAAACUUCCCCCUUGCUGUUAUCAUGAUAGUGAGUGAGUUCUCAUGAGAGCUGGUUGUUUAAAAGUUUAAAAGCACCUCCCCCUUCGCUCUCUCUUCCACCUUCUCCAGCAAUGUAAAAUGAACCUGCUUCCCCU